UACAGAGGGUGCGAGCGUUAAUCGGAAUUACUGGGCGUAAAGCGCACGUAGGCGGCUUUGCAAGUCGAGUGUGAAAUCCCCAGGCUCAACCUGGGAACUGCAUUCGAGACUGCAUAGCUAGAGUAUGGGAGAGGGAAGUGGAAUUUCAGGUGUAGCGGUGAAAUGCGUAGAUAUCUGAAGGAACAUCAGUGGCGAAAGCGACUUCCUGGACCAAUACUGACGCUCAUGUGCGAAAGCGUGGGGAGCAAACAGGG
rnacentral:rRNA from 1 species